GAGUUUGAUCGUGGCUCAGGAUGAACGCUAGCGGCAGGCUUAAUACAUGCAAGUCGAGGGGCAUCAGCUUAUAGCAAUAUAGGGCUGGCGACCGGCAAACGGGUGCGGAACACGUACACAACCUUCCUUUAAGAGGGGGAUAGCCCAUAGAAAUGUGGAUUAAUACCCGUAACGAUAGUGGGAUGGCAUCAUACUACUAUUAUAGUUACGACGCUUGAAGAUGGUGUGCGUCUGAUUAGGUAGUUGGCGGGGUAAAGGCCCACCAAGCCUUCGAUCAGUAGCUGAUGUGAGAGCAUGAUCAGCCACACGGGCACUGAGACACGGGCCCGACUCCUACGGGAGGCAGCAGUAAGGAAUAUUGGUCAAUGGACGCAAGUCUGAACCAGCCAUGCCGCGUGAAGGAUGAAGGUCCUCUGGAUUGUAAACUUCUUUAUAGGGGGCGAAAAAGGGAAAUCUUUCUCACUUGACAGUACCCUAUGAAUAAGCACCGGCUAACUCCGUGCUAG
rnacentral:rRNA from 1 species